GAGUUUGAUCUUGGCUCAGAACGAACGCUGGCGGCAGGCCUAACACAUGCAAGUCGAACGCCCUAGCAAUAGGGAGUGGCAGACGGGUGAGUAACGCGUGGGAAUAUCCCCCUCAGUACGGAAUAGCCCAGGGAAACUUGGAUUAAUACUGGAUAUUAUCUAAGGAUGAAAGAUUUAUCGCUGAAGGAUCGGCCCGCGUAAGAUUAGCUAGUUGGUGAGGUAAUGGCUCACCAAGGCUAUGAUCUUUAGCUGGUCUGAGAGGAUGAUCAGCCACACUGGAACUGAGACACGGUCCAGACUCCUACGGGAGGCAGCAGUGAGGAAUAUUGGACAAUGGGCGCAAGCCUGAUCCAGCCAUGCCGCGUGAGUGAUGAAGGCCUUAGGGUUGUAAAACUCUUUUAGUUGGGAAGAUAAUGACGGUACCAACAGAAAAGCUCCGGCUAACUUCGUGCCAGCCGCCGCCGU
rnacentral:rRNA from 1 species